AUCCUUCCAAAAUAUUUCAGGAACUGGGGCUUUCCAGCAGGAGUGAUGCAGGAGUACGGAAUCAGAUGCCCACAAAGUGCAGAGACAUGUUUCUGAGUGUUACCGGGAGCCAGCCAGGCAGAGCUGCAGUGUGGGAGCCCGGCCUCAGAACGGGACACCCCACCAUCGAUCAGGAGACUGGCUUCUGCCCAUCUGCUCUUUAAGCCUGUGUCUCAGAUGGUGUGAAAUAGGGAUCACCCUGAGAGAAAGCUGUCACUGCAAGAUUCCGGGAUACACUGCCUUCAUUUUUAUAAAUGCAUGCAAUUAGCUAUGACUUUUAAAUUGGCACCAUGGUGAACAAGCAUGUCUCAAGCAUACAUGCCAAGUAUUACAAGCCGUUUUUCAAUGGCUUCAACUUCCUCAGCUCCAAAACCUUGGAUCUCACUCCAACUCAGCAUCUACUAUUAUGUUCUGUGUCUCCAUUAUAUUAGAUUUGCAGGAGGUUAACGAGAAGCACAGCACAUAAUUCACAUGAAUAGGCUUUGAAACCUAAGUGUGAUGAAAAGUAUUAUUAUUACUGUUAUGCAAAGUCCUUGCAGCAAAAAUUACAUUAUCCUUUUUCCAAAUAUAUUGUGAACCUAUUGCUGCGCUAGAAUUCAGAUCUAGGCUUUCUUAAAACUCCAUUUGUGAUGCUUGCACUUACUUCAUAAACUUCCUUGGGUAUGAAAACACUUAAGUUUUCUUUUCUCCCCAAUGCCCCAGGCAGUUGACAGGUGGAUAAUGACAUCAACAGGCAGGUGGCCAUCAAAGACUCAGGGUAGGUGUGUUUUUGUGAGACCCCAGGUGGUUGAUUUCUGUAUGAUACCUCUCCAUAAAUGUGAAUUUCCUAUUCUUUAUUUCUUAAUCUUAAUAAAUCAC
rnacentral:lncRNA from 1 species